GUUGUAUGGGGGAAGGGUAAUCAUUCAGAAGGUGGGGUAAGAGUCAGGAUGUUUGGGGUAGGGUAAUCAGUCAGAAGGUGUGGUAAGAGUCAGGAUGUAUGGGGUAGGGUAAUCAGUCAGAAGGUGUGGUAAGAGUCAGGAUGUAUGGGGGAAGGGUAAUCAGUCAGAAGGUGUGGUAAGAGUCAGGAUGUAUGGGGUAGGGUAAUCAGUCAGAAGGUGUGGUAAGAGUCAGGAUGUAUGGGGUAGGGUAAUCAGUCAGAAGGUAUGGUAAGAGUCAGGAAGUAUGGGGGAAGGGUAAUCAUUCAGAAGGUGUGGUAAGAGUCAGGAUGUAUGGGGUAGGGUAAUCAUUCAGAAGGUGUGGUAAGAGUCAGGAUGUAUGGGGUAGGGUAAUCAUUCAGAAGGUGUGGUAAGAGUCAGGAUGUAUGGGGUAGGGUAAUCAGUCAGAAGGUGUGGUAAGAGUCAGGAUGUAUGGGGUAGGGUAAUCAGUCAGAAGGUGUGGUAAGAGUCAGGAUGUAUGGGGUAGGGUAAUCAUUCAGAAGGUGUGGUAAGAGUCAGGAUGUAUGGGGUAGGGUAAUCAGUCAGAAGGUGUGGUAAGAGUCAGGAUGUAUGGGGUAGGGUAAUCAGUCAGAAGGUGUGGUAAGAGUCAGGAUGUAUGGGGGUAGGGUAAUCAUUCAGAAGGUGUGGUAAGAGUCAGGAUGUAUGGGGGUAGGGUAAUCAUUCAGAAGGUGUGGUAAGAGUCAGGAUGUAUGGGGUAGGGUAAUCAUUCAGAAGGCGUGGUAAGAGUCAGGAUGUAUGGGGGUAGGGUAAUCAGUCAGAAGGUGGGGUAAGAGUCAGGAUGUAUGGGGUAGGGUAAUCAGUCAGAAGGUGUGGUAAGAGUCAGGAUGUAUGGGGGUAGGGUAAUCAUUCAGAAGGUGUGGUAAGAGUCAGGAUGUAUGGGGGUAGGGUAAUCAGUCAGAAGGUGUGGUAAGAGUCUGGAUGUAUGGGGGUAG